UACGUAGGUGGCAAGCGUUGUCCGGAAUUAUUGGGCGUAAAGCGCGCGCAGGCGGUCCUUUAAGUCUGAUGUGAAAGCCCACGGCUCAACCGUGGAGGGUCAUUGGAAACUGGGGGACUUGAGUGCAGAAGAGGAAAGCGGAAUUCCACGUGUAGCGGUGAAAUACGUAGAGAUGUGGAGGAACACCAGUGGCGAAGGCGGCUUUCUGGUCUGCAACUGACGCUGAGGCGCGAAAGCGUGGGGAGCAAACAGG
rnacentral:rRNA from 1 species